GAUGAACGCUGGCUACAGGCUUAACACAUGCAAGUCGAGGGGAAACGACGGGGAAGCUUGCUUCCCCGGGCGUCGACCGGCGCACGGGUGAGUAACGCGUAUCCAACCUGCCUCUGACUGAGGGAUAACCCGUCGAAAGUCGGCCUAAUACCUCAUGGCAUCGUCUGCGGGCAUCCAACGACGAUUAAAGAUUUCAUCGGUCAGAGAUGGGGAUGCGUCUGAUUAGCUUGUUGGCGGGGUAACGGCCCACCAAGGCGACGAUCAGUAGGGGUUCUGAGAGGAAGGUCCCCCACAAUGGAACUGAGACACGGUCCAAACUCCUACGGGAGGCAGCAGUGAGGAAUAUUGGUCAAUGGGCGAGAGCCUGAACCAGCCAAGUAGCGUGCAGGAUGACGGCCCUAUGGGUUGUAAACUGCUUUUAUGCGGGGAUAAAGUGAGGGACGUGUCCUUCAUUGCAGGUACCGCAUGAAUAAGGACCGGCUAAUUCCGUG
rnacentral:rRNA from 1 species